rnacentral:tRNA from 1 species
GAGGGUAUAGCUCAGUGGUAGAGCACAUGCUUAGCAUGCACAAGGUCCUGGGUUCAAUCCCCAAUACCUUCC